UGAGGAGAGAAGAAAAGGAACUAGCAAGGGGAGCUCUUGAUGGGUACCAAGGCAGCUCUCAGCCAUCCUCAUACUGAAACCUAAACUCCUGGUACCUGGACCCACGUUGUCCUCAGUCUCUCCCUCCAGUCACCUGGCUUGGAUUCUGUUCAACAUGAGGGCUUGCUGUUUCCUGCAUGGCCUGGCCUGGCCCCAUGGUUUUGUGGAUCUGCUGCCUAAUAUGUGAAAGUUUACACAACCUUUCUACAUGAAGAAUAUUGCAACUUUAAAAACAGCAUGCAAAAUUUUGUUACAUUAGGAUGCAAAAAG
rnacentral:lncRNA from 1 species